AUGAGGUUCCAGUAUGAAGGCCCAGCCUUCUGUUGCAGAAAAGGUAAGGUCAAGGUAUUUAUCCCAGAGGUUCCUCAAGAGCUACAACGAUUGUUUACAAGUCAGUUCGACAUGGAUGCAAAGUACUUAAGACAACACAUUCGAUAUUUCAACUCCCACUUCUCCUUCACAAGCCUUGGAGUUACCCUUGACAAUCGGGUCAACACCACGGCAAGAACCGGUGUAUACACCUUCCAUGCUCACGGUCAGUUGUACCACCGUCUAGACCAUCUUGUACCAGGUGAUCACGGACCCAGGCAUUUGCAGCCGUACAUUUAUGAUAUAGAUGAAGCCUUGGAACAUAGGGUGAAACGCUCUCCAGAUCUAAAUAUCAACCUCAUACGCAAGAUUCUGAGUAUACUGGAGAACAACCUGUAUGUCGAGACUUUUAAGAGCCUUGGUUCAGUUCCCAACCUAUCAAAAUAUAAAAUUACACUGAACACAAAUAUUAAAUUGGACCAGCGGAGGUACAAUGCCCCUACAACUUCUCAGGUGGCUGCAAUGUGGGUGGAAGGUAGUGACCCGAAACACACUUUCGAUAGAAGUGUUAUAGUGCAUGCAAAAGGGGAUAGUCCUUUGUACAUCAGAGCCUACUAUGGAUGCUAUGAUCCUUUAGCGUACCCAUUAUUUUACCCGGCUGGGGAGACAGGAUGGAACCGUUGGCUGCCAUAUGAGGGACCAACUCCCACUCAUGCAGGCAAUGAGGAUGACAACGACAACCAGGACGAUGGACGAGAAGCAGAUAAAGAUGACAACGAAGAACAAGAUGAGGAUGAAGCCACUGAGUCUAGAAAAUAUGUCAGUGCGAGGGAGUAUUACUGUUUCAAGUUGCAGAUCAGGGAAGGAAUUUUUAGCAUCCUAUUGUUUGGGGGGCGUCUUCUCCAACAGUGGCUUGCUGACAUGUACAUCAAAAUGGAGACUAUGAGGCUUGAUUUCUACUCGAAGCCUUAG
rnacentral:rRNA from 1 species